CCUACGGGGGGCUGCAGUGGGGAAUAUUGCACAAUGGGCGAAAGCCUGAUGCAGCGACGCCGCGUGGGCGAAGAAGGCCUUCGGGUCGUAAAGCCCUGUCCUAUGGGAAGAAAGAUGACGGUACCAUAGGAGGAAGCCCCGGCUAACUCCGUGCCAGCAGCGGCGGUAAUACGUAGGGGGCGAGCGUUGUCCGGAAUGACUGGGCGUAAAGGGUACGUAGGCGGAGAAUUAAGACAGAUGUGAAAACUCUGGGCUCAACCGAGAGCAUGCAUCUGAUACUGGUUAACUUGAGUGUAGAAGAGGGGAGUGGAAUUCCUAGUGUAGCGGUGAAAUGCGUAGAUAUUAGGAGGAAUACCAGUGGCGAUGGCGACUUUCUGGACUUAGACUGACGCUGAGGUACGAAAGCGUGGGGAGCAAACAGGAUUAGAUACCCUUGUAGUC
rnacentral:rRNA from 1 species